UACGGAGGGUGCAAGCGUUAAUCGGAAUUACUGGGCGUAAAGGGUGCGUAGGUGGUUUGAUAAGUUAGUUGUGAAAUUCCCGGGCUCAACCUGGGCACUGCAACUAAGACUGUUGAACUCGAGUAUGGGAGAGGGUAGUGGAAUUUCCGGUGUAGCGGUGAAAUGCGUAGAGAUCGGAAGGAACACCAGUGGCGAAGGCGGCUACCUGGCCUAAUACUGACACUGAGGCACGAAAGCGUGGGGAGCAAACAGGAUUAGAUACCCUGGUAGUCCACGCCGUAAACGAUGUCAACUAGCCGUUGGUAAUAUGAAUAUUAUUAGUGGCGCAGCUAACGCGAUAAGUUGACCGCCUGGGGAGUACGGUCGCAAGAUUAAA
rnacentral:rRNA from 1 species